AUUGAACGCUGGCGGCAUGCCUUACACAUGCAAGUCGAACGGCAGCGGACCUUCGGGUGCCGGCGAGUGGCGAACGGGUGAGUAAAGUAUCGGAACGUACCUUUCAGUGGGGGAUAACGUAGCGAAAGUUACGCUAAUACCGCAUAUUCUGUGAGCAGGAAAGCAGGGGAUCGCAAGACCUUGCGCUGAUUGAGCGGCCGAUAUCAGAUUAGCUAGUUGGUGAGGUAAAGGCUCACCAAGGCGACGAUCUGUAGCGGGUCUGAGAGGAUGAUCCGCCACACUGGAACUGAGACACGGUCCAGACUCCUACGGGAGGCAGCAGUGGGGAAUUUUGGACAAUGGAGGCAACCCUGAUCCAGCCAUGCCGCGUGAGUGAAGAAGGCCUCGG
rnacentral:rRNA from 1 species